AAUUUAAAUUACUAAGGGCUAGUAAAGGAUUUCUUGGAAAUGAUAGGCGAUGAAGGACGUGCCAAUCUGCGAAAAGUGUCGGGUAGCUGAUAAGAAGCCUUAAUCCGGCAAUCUCCGAAUGUAGAAAUACAGUAGAAACUAAUCUUUCUACUAUCGUCACAUGAAUUAAAUAGUGUGAUGAGGCGAACUUGGCGAAGUGAAACAUCUCAGUAGCCAAAGGAAAAGAAAACGAAGUGAUUCCCUAAGUAGUGGUGAGCGGAAGGGGAAGAGGCUAAACCAGGAGCUUGCUCCUGGGGUUGUAGGACCUUACAACGGUAUCUCCGAAUAUAGCAGAAAUCUAUUGGAAAGUAGUGCCAUAGAGGGUGAAAGCCCCGUAUGUGAAAUAGGAAGAGAGCCAAAGGUAUCCUGAGUAGGGCGGGACAUGUGAACCCUGUUUGAAUCCACCCGGACCAUCGGGUAAGCCUAAAUACUAAUCAUUUACCGAUAGUGAACAAGUACUGUGAAGGAAAGAUGAAAAGAACCCAGAUAUGGGAGUGAAAUAGAUCAUGAAAUUACUAGCCUACAAAGUGUCAGAGCACAUUCAAGUGUAAUGGCGUGCGUUUUGAAGUAUGAGCCGGAGAGUUAUUGCAAGUUGCAAAGUUAAAUCUGAACGAUGGAGCUGAAGCGAAAGCGAGUCUUAAUAGGGCGUUUUUAGUAAGUUGCAAUAGACCCGAAAGGGGACGAGCUUGUCAUGAGCAGGUUGAAAUUUGAAUAACAUCAGAUGAAGGACCGAACAGACUGUCGUUGAAAUGAUAGCUGAUGACUUGUGAUAAGAGGUGAAAUUCCAAUCGAGUUCCCUGAUAGCUGGUUUUUGUCGAUAUAGUUUUAGGACUAGCGUCAAAUAAAUUUAUGAGUGGAGGUAAAGCACUGAAUCUAUGAGGGCGGUUCGCGCUGUACCAAAUAGAAUUAAACUCUGAAUUCCAUUCAUACUACUUUGGCAGUGAGACUACUUGGGAUAAGCUUUGUAGUCGUGAGGGAAAGAGCCCAGACCAAUAAAUAAGGUCCCUAAACUAAGCUAAGUGGAAAAGGAGGUCAAAAUUCAUAAACAACUAGGAUGUUGGCUUAGAAGCAGCCACCGUUUAAAGAGUGCGUAAUAGCUCACUAGUCUAGUUUUUUGGCGCCGCAAGUAUAACGGGGCUAAGCUUAGUACCGAAUUUUUGGAUUCCUGCCUCUAGGCAGGAGUGGUAGACAAAUGUUGUAUAAGGAUUGAAGCCUAAACGAGAGUAUGGGUGGACUUUAUACAAGUAAGAAUUCCGGCGUGAGUAACGAAUGAAAGUGAGAAUCUUUUUAGCCGAUUGAUUAAGGUUUCUGGGGCUAGGCUCGUCCUCCUCAGGUUAGUCGAUCCUAAGGUGAGGUCGAAAGACGUAAUUGAUGGACAACAGGUUAAUAUUCCUGUACUACCUUAGAUAUUUGAUGGGUUGACAAAAGAGGUUGAGGUAAGAGGAUUAUUGGAUUUCCUUUCAAGAAUUCGAGCAAGUUAGGGAUGAAAAUCACCCUAACACACAUUGUGAGGUUCGAGCACGAUCUUUAUUAGCAAUAGUAGAGAAAGUUACUGACAAUCUGAUUUUCGAGAAAAGACUCUAAAAAUACGUAUCUAAGGUAUUCGUACCGAGAACGAACACACGUGAUCAAGGAGAAUAUCCUAAGGCUAGCGAGUUAUCUACAGUUAAGGAACUCUGCAAAUUAACUCUGUAACUUCGGGAGAAAGGGUGCCUACAUUAGCUUGUAGGUCACAGUAAAGAAUGAGGGCGGACUGUUUAACAAAAACACAGCUAUAUGCGAAAUUCAAACAUGAAGUAUAUGUGGCGACACCUGCCCGGUGCCAGAAGGUCAAAGAAGGAGGUCAAGCCUGCUUGCAGGUGGCAGCUUUUAACUUAAGCCCUGGUGAACGGCGGCCGUAACUAUAACGGUCCUAAGGUAGCGAAAUUCCUUGUCAGGUAAAUUCUGUCCCGCUUGAAUGGUGUAACCAGCUCUUAACUGUCUCGACUGUAGGCUCGGUGAAAUCCUGGUGAGAGUGAAGACACUCUCUUGCCGCUAUGGGACGGAAAGACCCUAUGAAGCUUUACUGUAACUUGAUAUUGUGAAAGUUCAUUGAUAUUAGAGAAUAUGUGGGAGACUGGGAAGAUGGGGCGCUAGCUCUGUUGGAGUCGACAGUGGAAUACCGCAAUUUCAAUGAAUUUUUACUUACAUAUUGCCAUCUAUCUGGUAUAUGGACAGUGUUAGGUGGGCAGUUUGACUGGGGCGGUUGCCUCCUAAAAAGUAACGGAGGCGCGCAAAGGUACACUUAGCACGUAUGGAAACCGUGCAGUAAGGGUAAUACUAUAUGUGUGCUUGAUUGUGAGACAAACAAGUCGACCAAGUAAGAAAUUAGGCUAUAGUGAUCCGGUGGUUCUGAAUGGAAGGGCCAUCGCUCAACGGAUAAAAGCUACUCUAGGGAUAACAGGGUAAUAAUCACCAAGAGUUCAUAUCGACGUGAUUGUUUGCUACCUCGAUGUCGACUCAUCUUAUCCUGGGGGUGAAGCAGCUCCCAAGGGUUCGGCUGUUCGCCGAUUAAAAAGAUACGUGAGUUGGGUUCAAACCGUCGUGAGACAGGUUGGUCCCUAUCUGUAGUGGCUGAAGGAAAUUUGAGGGGAUUCAUUCCUAGUACGAGAGGACCGGAAUGAACACACCGCUGUUGUAUCAGUUGUCUUGCCAGAGGCAUUGCUGAAUAGAUAAGUGUGGAUUAGAUAAACGCUGAAAGCAUCUAAGUGUGAAACUAGCCUCAAAAAAAUUUCCCCUUCAAUUUAUUGAAGAUAAACAUGGUUGAAGACUACAACCUCGAUAGGCUACAAGUGUAAGUACAGUAAUGUAUUCAGCUAAGUAGUACUAAUUAUGUGAAAGAUUUAGACAG
rnacentral:rRNA from 2 species